rnacentral:tRNA from 1 species
UAGAUAUGGUGAAAUAAACACAAUUGACUUAGAAUCAAUCUAUUGUAGGCCAACCCUACUAUCUAAAU